rnacentral:lncRNA from 1 species
UAGGGAAAACCCUUAACUGAAUACUAAGAAACUUAUCAACUGAAAUUUCAGGGUCCAGAGCAUCACAGGCCAAAAUUUUCCCUAUAUUCAUCUUCAAAAGUCUCCCUCAGAUAAAUUGACUGGAAAACCUGGGAAACAUUCAAGAGAUCAGAGGGUGCGGUGGCGUUCUUCAGCUGCACAUCACUGGGUUCUCUUCCAAAGACAGCUCCAGGAACUCGUCUCGUUCCCAGAGUUCCUGGCCAGUCCCCUCAACUGAAUACCUGGGAUCCUCCUUUUACAGGAAGCUCCGGAAUAUUGAGCGUGAUUCCAGCGCAGCAUGGAGGAGAGUCCUCCCUCAAGAAUCUCCUCUCAUGCCUAGCAGGGGGAGAUGCUU